rnacentral:tRNA from 1 species
GCUUCAGUGGCUCAGAUGGAUAGAGCGCCUGCCAUGUAAGCAGGAGAUCCUGGGUUCAAGUCCCAGCUGGGGCA